GACGAACGCUGGCGGCGUGCUUAACACAUGCAAGUCGAACGGUGAAGCGCCUUCCUUUUUGGUGGGUGUGGAUGAGUGGCGAACGGGUGAGUAACACGUGAGUAACCUGCCCCCUUCUUCUGGAUAACCGCAUGAAAGUGUGGCUAAUACGGGAUAUUCUGGGUCUGUCGCAUGAUGGGUCUGGGAAAGAUCUUGUUUCGGUGGGGGAUGGGCUCGCGGCCUAUCAGCUUGUUGGUGGGGUGAUGGCCUACCAAGGCGGUGACGGGUAGCCGGCCUGAGAGGGUGGACGGUCACACUGGGACUGAGACACGGCCCAGACUCCUACGGGAGGCAGCAGUGGGGAAUAUUGCACAAUGGGCGCAAGCCUGAUGCAGCGACGCCGCGUGAGGGAUGGAGGCCUUCGGGUUGUGAACCUCUUUCGCCAGUGAAGCAGGCCUGCCUCGUUUGUGGGUGGGUUGACGGUAGCUGGAUAAGAAGCGCCGGCUAACUACGUG
rnacentral:rRNA from 1 species